CCCGUAAGGGGGCUCGGCUGGGCUCGGCUGGGCUCGGCUGGGCUCGGCUGGGCUCGGCUCGGCGUUUGGGGGUCGCCGUGACUCGGGCUGUCGGUUCCCUGGCGAAACUGACGCUGAGAGGCUGGUAAAUCUUUGCCUACGAUCAACAGAGAACUUGGAACCUAUUACAGUCGUUUUGUUCCUUGGGCACGUGGAUCUCACCCUUGUGGUGAAGAAGACAAACAGGUGCUGAAAUAUUUCAUAUUGCUGAGUCUUCUAGCAGCAAAUGAAGGAUAUGUAUCUGUUCCUUCUUUCCACUUCAUAUUUGCUUUUGAAAGCCACUGGCACCAAAGAGGUUAUAUUUGGUCAUAAUAAUUUCACAGAAUAUCAGGUAGGCAACAUGAACCUUAUUCUCUCUGUCCCACACGGUGGGUCAAUGGAACCCAAAGACAUCCCCGAUCGAGAAGCUGCUUGUUGGGAUGCAAAGUCAUCCUCUUGUAUUUUCUCUCAUGAGUGUCCUCCUGGAAGUACUCAAAAUUCUAAGAAAUGUAAAGUGUCUACCAACCAAGACAGGUACACUAUAGAGCUGGCUCAGGCUCUUGCUGAAGAAAUCAACGAAAUUACUGAUGGCUUCUUCCCACAUAUCAUUAUAAACCACCUGCAGAGGUUCAAGAUGGAUGCUAACAGGGAAAAGGAUGAAGCCUCCUUUGGAAUUCCCCAAGCAGAGCAGGCCUGGGAGGAGUAUAUGGGAUUUUUGACCACUGCAAAAUCACAGAUGAGAGGGGGCCUGAUUCUGGAUAUCCAUGGACAAGCACAUCCUGAACGGUGGAUAGAACUAGGUUACACACUUUCAAAAACUUCCCUCAACUCAGGCAUUUUCUCUGCAUCAUGUUCCUCAAUUAGCCACCUGGCCAGCCAGCUAGUCAAUGUUUCUUCUGAGACUCUGGUUUCAGGGAACAGAAGUUUGGGUAAAUAUAUUGAAGAUCAAAAUAACAGUUAUGUUUGCGUGCCUUCUCCAUCCAAUCCUAGCCCAAAUAAUGGGAGCUAUUAUAGCGGUGGAUACAUAACAAAGACUUUUGGUUCCCGUAAUUCUGGCACCAUUGAUGCCAUUCAGCUUGAACUACCCCAGUGGGUGAGGGCAGCUGAAGAACGUCCCAGAUUUUGUAAAGCACUAGCAAGGGCUGUAAUGAAAUUCUGGCAAACUAACUACUGCAGCCAAUACCACCAUGAAUUUCUGCCAUGCUGAAAGAGUCUGUCUUGUCAAGAUACCUUUCUGUACUACAGUAAUGAUCUGGAUCAACAGAACAACUGAUACACCUGGAACAUUUAAGUCCGCAAUAUAACUGUGGAUGCCGGUGGAAAGAAACUAACCUGCAAAGGAAUAUAGUGACAUUGACAUAGAGAAAGUCCACUGCUAAUACCAACAAGUCUGUUAACACACAGCUUUGUACUAGAUCCAGCAUUGAAAAGGCUGCUUGAAGAUGAGUGGGUCUAUUUGGAAGUGUCACUUGCCUGGUAUGCUUUUCUGUGCUUGAUUUCUUUCUAGUAGCAUCCUCUGUUCUCUAACACACAAUAAAAAAAAAUAUUCUUCUUCUAA